rnacentral:ncRNA from 1 species
CUAUGACAUUAGGUCAUGGCGGAAGGAG